CAAGGAGUUUUCCGCGAUGGGCGAAAGCCUGACGGAGCAACGCCGCGUGGGGGAUGACACCUUUCGGGGCGUAAACCCCUUUUCUUGGGGACGAAGCAGUGACGGUACCCGAGGAAGAAGGCCCGGCUAACUACGUGCCAGCAGCCGCGGUAAUACGUAGGGGCCGAGCGUUGUCCGGAGUUACUGGGCGUAAAGCGCGCGCAGGCGGCUCGUCAAGCCUGACGUGAAAGCCCCCGGCUCAACCGGGGAGGGUCGUCGGGGACUGGCGGGCUUGAGGUCGGCAGGGGCUGGUGGAAUUCCCGGUGUAGUGGUGAAAUGCGUAGAGAUCGGGAGGAACACCCGUGGCGAAGGCGGCCAGCUGGGCCGGACCUGACGCUGAGGCGCGAAGGCGUGGGGAGCGAACGGGAUUGGAUACCCCGGUAGUCCACGCAGUAAACGAUGCAGACUAGGCGUGGGGGGACUUGACCCCCUCCGUGCCGAAGCCAACGCGUGAAGUCUGCCGCCUGGGGAGUACGGCCGCAAGGCUAAAACUCAAAGAAAUUGG
rnacentral:rRNA from 1 species